GGCAGUCUUGGUGGUCAGCAGCUUAAGAUGUCAUGUGAUUCUCUGAGGGAGCAGCUGCGUGAGUGGAGAUGCUCUCAGUGGUGGAAAAUGGACUGGACCCCCGGGCUGCCAUCCCGAUGCAAAGAGAAAGAUGGUCAUAUGAAGAUGGAGGCAGCAACUGGAGUGAUGUAGCUACAAGCCAAGGAACACCAAGGACUGGCACAACACCAGAAGCUGGAAAAAGACAAGGAAGGAUUCUUCCCUAGAGCCUCCAGAGAGAGCAUGGCCCUGUUAACACCAUUAUUUCAGACUUCUGGCCUCCAGAAUGGUGGGAGAACACAUUUCUGAUUUUUUAAGCCAUCUUCUUUAAGUAAAAGAUUAUCUAUGAUGUUGUAUUUUACAGACCAAGAAACUGAAGCUCAGAAAUGUUGAGUGACUUUUCUUGUCAAGGUUCAUGUUAAAUAGCUGUGACAUGUAAGCAUCUGGUAGUAAAGCCAUGACUAGAAGCAAAACUUUACCAAGUCCAAGUAUGGUGCUUAAUACAAUUCGCUUUGAAUGAUGAAACUCUUGGACAAUCAGCAUACAUUCAUGUGCCAAAUAACAUUAUGGUCAAUGACAGACCACAUAAACAAUGAUGGUCUUAUAAGAUUGUAAUACAGCUGAAGAAUUCCUAUCUUAGCACAAAGCACUACUCAUGUGUUUGUGGUGAUGCUGGUGUAAAGAAACCUACAGUGCUCCUAUUCAUAUAGAAGUAUACCACAUACAAUUAUGUCCAGUAAGAAUAUAAUAGUUGAUAAUAAGAACUAUGUUACUUUUUUUUUU
rnacentral:lncRNA from 1 species